rnacentral:lncRNA from 1 species
GUAUGCGUCCUUGGAUUGCUGUUGCAUAUGAUGCUCGUUGCUACUGCAGUUUUCUUGAUCGACCCUAUUGAUUCUAUUAGUCAAGGAUGUUUCUCUGACGAUAUGCCUUUAGGAAUACAGAUGGUAUGCCUUUAGGAAUAUCUGGUACUUUCAACUUCAUGAUUGUAUUCCAGGCAGAACACAACAUCCUUAUGCAUCUAUUUCACAUGUUAGGUGUAGCUCUGGUGUAUUCGGCCCUAGUACUAUGCAUGGUUCCUUGGUCAACUCUUGUUUCAUCAGGGAAAUCACUGAAAACGAAUCCGCGUUAGCAAGUGACUGAUUCGGUAAAGAGGAAGAGACUUUACAAUAGAGCAUUGUAGUUGCUCAUGGUUAUUUAAGCCGAUUGAACUGCCAAUAUGCUAGUUUCAACAACUCGACUUCUUGACAUUUCUUCUUGGCUGCGUGGCCUGGCCGACAACAUCUUUCAACCGAACAAACAAGCUGCGCCGAUUCUCUCACACGUUUCACUCAGUAAGUGUUAGAAGCUACGUGGGCUAAGCAUUCUUUAUUCUAUUGUAGAUAACAAAAGCACCCAAUGAGAUUGUUAGAAUCCUUUUUCUGAGCUUUUGAAUAAUGUUUAUUGAGUCUGUUUAGUCCAGUUGUUUAUUGAGUCGGUUUGGUUCAGUUAGAGUCAAGUAGAGG